rnacentral:rRNA from 1 species
ACACCGCCCGCGGCUACUACCGAUUGAAUGGUCUAGUGAGGGCACCGGACUGGCGCCCUUGGAGCCGCUACCGCCGCCUCGGCACAGCCCCCUCGGGUCGACGGAAAGGUGUCCAGGCCUGGGUCAUUUAGAGGAAGUAAAAGUCGUAACAAGGUUUCCGUAGGUGAACCUGCGGAAGGUUACAU